UUUAUUGGAGAGUUUGAUCCUGGCUCAGGAUGAACGCUGGCGGCGUGCCUAAUACAUGCAAGUCGAGCGAAUGGAUUAAGAGCUUGCUCUUAUGAAGUUAGCGGCGGACGGGUGAGUAACACGUGGGUAACCUACCCAUAAGACUGGGAUAACUCCGGGAAACCGGGGCUAAUACCGGAUAAUAUUUUGAACUGCAUAGUUCAAAAUUGAAAGGCGGCUUCGGC
rnacentral:rRNA from 1 species